rnacentral:rRNA from 1 species
UACAGAGGCUGCAAGCGUUAUUCGGAAUCAUUGGGCGUAAAGAGCGCGUAGGCGGUCCGGUAAGUCCGCUGUGAAAGUCAAGGGCUCAACCCUUGAAUGCCGGUGGAUACUGUCGGGCUAGAGUCCGGAAGAGGCGAGUGGAAUUCCUGGUGUAGCGGUGAAAUGCGCAGAUAUCAGGAGGAACACCGGAGGCGAAGGCGGCUCACUGGGGGUCUUCUGACGCUGAGGAACGGAAAGCCAGGGAGCGAACGGG